CAGCAGGUGAUUGAUCGAUUAUUCAAUACGGCAAGUGACGAAUCGAUACAUCAGGUGACAAAUCGAUACAGCAGAGGGUCGAUCGCCGAGGGAAGAGCGCAGGUACGUUCGGACUGUAUAGCGGCCGCAGCGAGAGAUGGCGUACGACAUGCAAGGUGGUAGGCUGUACGGAGAAUUUCUGAAGAAGAGGGAGGCGGGCCUGAGACGCAUCAACAAGAUGUAUCUCGACGACCCCGACUUCGCUCAUGUAGAGGACCUCGAGGGGAAAUUGGAAAGCU